CAUUAGUCGUCCACCCUAUCACUGUUUUAUUUCAUACUUUAUAUGCAUAUUUAAACCAAAUUAUCUCAUUUCGUCCUAGGCUGAACUGCGCUGGAUCCAUUUAUCACAUUUUUCACUAUGAAGAAAACUAUAACAUUUGGCAUUGCUUAAUAAAAUAUCAUUAUGAACUGCUAUCAGGAUGGUUAUUUUUAGAUGAGUGGGAUGCCCUGCUACUGAUUGACGUAAACAGAUACCCAAGGGAUGAUCUGUGACUAUGGAUUAUGUGUGGUUGAUGGUUAG